rnacentral:lncRNA from 1 species
ACACAGUAGCGGAUCCUUUUGUACCAUAACAUUUUUUGGGGUGGGUGGGCAGGAUAACUACUCUGUGUUAUAAUUAUUUUAUGACAGAAAGUUUGUUAUAUUGUAUUUUCAGUUAACCAGGAUAUCUUAUGCUGAAUCAGCUCCUCAGGGGCCUCACAAUUUUCAAAAAGUCUGAGAUCCUGUUGCCUGGUCCAGAAGGUUUCAGCGGUGCAUACUGAACGAGAUACGGAAGAAGUGGGCAGGGAGAGACCUUUCAGACUUCUGCUCUCUGAAGUUCUAGGCUAUUAAUUAUAUCUGAGGCUCUAGGAACCUUUUAGAGGCAUCUUGGGAUUCUUUGUAGGGAGCAGAGGAGGAAUGCAAUUAUUCAACUUCAUAUUGCAAGUGGAGACUUUAACAUUGGCAGGGUUCAAGUCUCAAGCCUCAAAUUUGGAGCAUAAAAUAAGCCUCAGGCAUGUUCAGAAACCUAAAUGUUUGGACAAUACCAAAUUGCUAAGGGGAGGACAGGUAGCUGGAGCCACCAGCACUGAGGACAUACAAUGUUUCUGGCAAUGCUGACACUUUCCUCUUGUGAAGGGAGGACUGGGUGCACCGGCUUAGAAUCUGAAUACACAUAUGUCACUGUGUUAGCUAUUAAUAAGUAUCACUGUUAAUAGCUAACAAUUAUUGAAUGCUUACUCUAUGUCAAGUAUUCCACAUGCGUUCUUCCAUUUAAUACUGAUAACAAUCAUGUGAUAUAGGGUCUAUUAUUAUCCCCAUUUUACAAAUAAAGAGACUAUGGUUGGUUAACUUGUCCAAGCUCACAGAGCUACUGAGUAGCAGAGUUGGGACUCGAGUCCUAUCACAAUGUCUCCUGCCAAUCACCACACCAUGCCAUCUUCAGUCUCUGCACAAUCUUCUUCUAUUUGCUAAUGGAGGGGAUUAAAAAAAGAUCAAUUAUACAACACUGACUAAUGCAUAACACUGGGUGUCUAUAACUGUUCUCCUCAAGGAAAUAGUGUAAUCAUUUUGCAACUUCACACAGCAAAGAAAGAUGUGCUUUGCUCUGUGCAUUAGAGCCAGGCCUUGCCAUUUGCAAAACUUCAUCCCAUCAUCUCCUUGGAUAGUGAGGAUGGUCCUGGAAGUUACUGAGCAACACACUGCUCCCCUCUCCCCCUUAUCUCCCACAGGCCUCA